GUUAGCACAGGCAGAUCAAUCAAAUCCACUAAGAUUGUUUUUUCUUCAGUUUUUUGAGACAGAGUCUCUGGAACUUCUGAUCCUCCAGUCUCCACCUCAUGAAGUACUAGGAUUACAGGGAGUCACAGUUAAAAGAUUUCCUCGAGACUCAGAAAAGACUGGACUUUUGAACAAUGUUAGGACUGUUAAAGACCAUGGAACUUUUGCCAGGUGCACAUGGAAGCCAGAAGAAGAUGUCAGAUCGUUGGACCCUCAGGUGCAGGAGCUUGUGAAACAUUGGCCAUGAGUGCUGGAAACUGAACUCAGGUCUUCUGCAAGAGCAGCAAGCACUAUUAACUGCUGAGCCAUCUCUCCGAACUUUUUGCAGCCAGAAUCCACUGACCAGGGUUUGGAUGUCCCUGUCUUGAAGGAUCACUGAGAACUCAGAAUAAGACAGCUGUGGCAGUAUGGGACUCACCUAUCCUGAUCCUGGAGGGCCAGUGCCAAUUGUG